GGGGGGGCAAGCGUUGUUCGGAAUUACUGGGCGUAAAGGGCGCGCAGGCGGGCGGGAAAGUCUCUCGUGAAAGCCCACGGCUCAACCGUGGAAUUGCGGGAGAUACUACUCGUCUUGAGUCCGGGAGAGGAGUGUGGAAUUCCCAGUGUAGCGGUGAAAUGCGUAGAUAUUGGGAGGAACACCGGUGGCGAAGGCGGCACUCUGGACCGGUACUGACGCUGAGGCGCGAAAGCUAGGGGAGCAAACGGGAUUAGAUACCCCGGGUAGUCCUAGCUGUAAACGCUGAGCACUUGGUGUAGCGGGUAUCGACCCCCCUGCUGUGCCGAAGCUAACGCAUUAAGUGCUCCGCCUGGGGGAGUACGGUCGCAAGGCUG
rnacentral:rRNA from 1 species